rnacentral:rRNA from 1 species
CCCUUAGAUGUUCUGGGCUGCACGCGCGCUACACUGAAGCUAUCAACACGUUUUCCCUCCCUGAGAAGGGCGGGUAACCUUUUGAAUCAGCUUCGUGGUAGGGAUCGGGGCUUGCAAUUGUUCCCCGUGAACCAGGAAUUCCUAGUAGACGCGAGUCAUAAGCUCGCAUCGAUUAAGUCCCUGCCCUUUGUACACACCGCCUGUCGCUACUACCGAUUGAACGUUUUAGUGAGGCAUUUGGACCGACGCAUCUCAGUUUAACCGCUGGUUUGUGUUGGAAAGACUUCCAAACUUGAGCGUUUAGAGGAAGUAAAAGUCGUAACA